UUUGGUGCCCAUAGCGCUGGGGUAAUACCUGUUCCCAUUCCGAACACAGAAGUCAAGACCAGUCGCGCCGAAGAUACUGCUCUGCGGGAAACUAGGAAGGUGCCAUUU
rnacentral:rRNA from 1 species